UAUGGUCACAUCAGGUUAAAACGCCAAUUCUCUUGCGAUCACCGAAGUUAAGCAACGUCGAACCUGGUCGGUACUUAGAUGAGUCACCGUUUUGGAAUACCAGGUGUUGUAAG